GAAAUGUCCCGGAGAGGCUUGGAGACCAGCGACAAGGGUCACAUCACAGAGCAAUGAAAGUUUUGUCACCAAAUGGCAGGAGACAAUGGGUUGCCAUUGGGAACCAAGAUGUAAGCAGAGGAGAGGCCUUGUACCCCCUGCCAUGUGGGUCGGCCAAGCCAGAGCACCCAUCCUGUCAAGGUGGUGAUGACAGCAUGACUCCUGGAAGCAGUUCUUAAAUGUGCUCUGCAGACAGCAUCUGCUUUCCACUGGUCCAUGGUGAGAUGAUGAUCAUCGAAUACGUCCACUACCUGACAAGUUCUGACCUGUCGACAGCUACCAGCCAAUUCCGAGUCCUCAUCACCCGCUGCCUGGAUUGCAGCAACAGCCUCCAAUAGGACCCCCCUCAUCUCCCUACAGUCCAUUCUUAAUCCAGCAACAGAAAAAUGUUUUUAUUAGUAUAACCUUAGUCCUAUCUUGCCACUUACCUGCUGAAACCUGGCAAAGGCUCCCAUCUCACCCCAAGUAAAAGCCAAAAUCCUUAAAUGGCCAUAAGGAUGACCUGGCCCUUGUAGUUCACGGACCACGGCUCUGACUUCUGUCUCCUCGUUCACUCCGUUCUAGUCACAAGGACCUCCUUGCUGCUCCUCAAACACACAGGACCCCUCCUGCCUUGGGGCUUUGCUCCUGUCCACUUGUCUCAUUCCCUCACCUUCUAUAAUUCUUUGUUCAAAUGUUGUCUGCUCAAUGCACCUGGCCCCCUCACACUCAUGCUCUGAGUUUUUCCGUGGAAAUGAUCUAAAUAACAAACUCAUGGCAACAACAAAUUUUAUGCUCUGUCUUCAAUGGACUGAAUGUUUGCAGCCCUUCAAAAUUCAUAUGUUGAAAUCCUAACCAAAUGUGAUGGUAUUUGGAGGUGGAAACUUUGGAUUAGUGCCCUUAUAAAGGGACCCCGGAGAACUCUCUUGCCCUCUGUCUGCCAUUGGAGGAUACAACAAGAAGCCAGCAGCCUCCAACCUGGAAGAGCGCCCUCACCAGAACCAUGCUGGCUCCCUAAUCUCACACUUUAGCCUUCAGAACUGUGAAAACAAGUGUCUGUUGUUUAUAAGCUACCCAGUCUCUCACACUUUGCUAUAGCAACCCAGACUGAGUAAGACACUGUCUGUCUAUCUAUCAAAAAUGAAAUGGUUGUCAUGAGUACACUGGUAACAUGUUUAUUGGAACUGAAAUAUGAACUCAUAUUUUUUUUCUAACAACUGAUGGUUAAAUAUAAUUUGGGGCAUAUAACUCAAAAAGAAUUCAAAUACUUUGAUUUGGCUGAUUGAUUUGACAAUGUGGAAUGGCUUUGCCAAUUAGAUUAUGAAUAUUUCCCAUAAUGUGAAUGAGUUAAAUCUUCAAUUACAAAGUUGUUUUAAAAUAUAUUUAAGACACAUAAUAUAAAAGCAUUUUAUCAAAAAUAUUACAUUCAUGGUAUUGUGUUUAUAUUGAAAUUAACAUUAACAUUAUUUUGAUUUACCCAACUCUG